CUUUUCAUUUGGACCCCUACAAGCGAAUACUUGGCUCCACAUGUCAGCCAGCUCCUGACUCUCUUCAGCGAGUAGGAGCUUCAUUCAAGGUUUCUCUUAAGUUCACGUAACAAAAACUUGAAUACUACUGAACUUGGAGUGAACAGCACAAUCACCCCCAUUCUCAGCUCUGAUGCUGAAUCUACUGAUAUUAAAAAGCUCCAAGUUAAACUGUGUAAUGUCAGAUGAAUAUGUGUCAUACCAUGGUUAGACUUCUGAAUGUAACAGGCCCAUAGCCAGGUUUUUAGAAAUACUGAGGUUAUGAGUCAAAAAUCCCAGUGGAGCCAACCAGCUAACAUACUGUACCUAACCAGUCACCAAAAAAGCCUGUGAAAUGUUCUGAUUGUAAUAUACAUUUUAAGAAUUCUUUUAACAGUACAUAACAGAAUUAUAUUUACUGUAAGUUAUUUUCAGUAUUAUGAUUAUUCUCUCCACACUGCCCCACAUUGGUAUCAUUCUGGUGGAGAAAACCAAAUCCCUUUACUUUUUAUUAAAUGUAAUAUUGCAUAUAAGCACUUAUAUUUGAGGGCAUUUGAAAAAUUUGAUGAUCAGUCAUCAAAACCUGCCACAAAGCAACAGAGAGUAAACUCCUUGGCCCUGGUGUCAUCAGUGGUAACUACAGCCCUGGCUGUAGGAAUAUGUAUGCAUGUAAACCCUUACAUACAUAAUGUACUUCUCAACAAUUAAGGGAUUAAACAUAUUUCCCAAUGUUGACCUACAUGGCACAAUGUCAAUUCCUAAACAGAAUUUUUAGAUGCAUUUCAAAAGAGGCAGCUACACUAAUGUGAAUGCUUGUUAAUACACCAAGUCCCCACUGACCAGCAUGAGACAGACAACAGUCUGAGAAUAUUCCUCACCAACAACACCAGAACUGUGUGUUCAACAAAGGAGUAUACUGUCUCUCCAACUAAGGCACAGAGGGAUCUCAUCAAGCCUAAGUGGCACAGCUGGGAGUAUGUAAGCAUGUGGAAAGCAAAGACAAUUAUUGUCAAAGGAAUUCACUGUUCUUCAGAUUGUCCAGAUUAUGAAUACAGAAAUUCCUAAUCUUCACACUUCUUGAAGUGACAUCCUGUGGUAUUCAGGGUGUCCCAGAGGAUGAAGAACUGUGUAACUUAUAUGGAAGAGUCAUCAGAGGGAAACUUUACCUGCAACCUCAUCAUAAAAUCAACAUCUGAAGUCUGCAAAGCAACAUCUGGAUAAGGAAACAAGUGCUGUGGACAGACAAAGUUCAAACCGAGCUCUCUGGCCACAAUGACCAAAGUUGUGAAAACAGACAUUUGACCAACAGAACACCUUGGCAAGUCUUCAGCAUGGAGUGGAAAGAUUCUGCUUUGGGGUUGUAUGACAGCCAGUGGCCAGGAAAGAGGGAAGAAUGGAUUCCACUGAAUAUCAGCAAAUUCUAGAUGCAAAUGUCCUGCAGUCAGUCAGAACAAUGAUCCAGAGCAGACCUCAAAAUCCACCAUGAACUGCUUCAAGAAACCAUUCCAAAAGCUCCUGUCAGUCUCCUGACAUGAACAUCUAAAUACUGACUUAGUAGGGUUCAUUACUGCUUCAUUCAUUUUUAUCUUUUAAGUUGAUCACAUUUUGCUUUCUGUUUGCUGCAGGGUUGGCUUUAUUUCCUCUUACUUCAAAAACCAACAAAGUAUGUCAUUUGCCCAGGGGUGGUAGAACAUAGAAAAUGAAUAUCUGUUGACAAUAAGAAGAAUCACCACUCUGAAGUUAAUUAAAAAGAACCAAGGGUGGUAACUUAUGGCAAAAGUGUUAUGGAUACUGACCAACAGCACUGACUUUGAUAUGAGAAACAUUUAGAGGAAAUGAACAGUUUGUGUGAAUUUAUGUGUGAACACACACACUGACUGGACUGCCAUUAGAUAAUGCUGCUGUUUCUCAGCUGCAGCUUAUCUAAGUGCAGGGUUGCUGCCGCUGUAGAACAUAAAAACAAUGGAACAGUUCCUGUUUUGUUCCAAAGGAAGUUGAGGGAAUGAGAAAAUAAGAUUGUAUGACAGAAGAUGUGAGGUCUCUCACAUCACCAUGCAAAACCCUUAUCUUUUAUCUACAUUUGGUGUUCCUGAAAAACUAAAUGGAUGUUGUGGAACAUUCUGGAACAUUCCCUGGAACGUAGACAGUGUGAACUCAGUGAGCAGCUGGAGUGGAAAGGGUGCUAUACAUCUAUGGAUUAUGCCUUUGACUGAUACAAGAUUUUAAUUAAGUGCCUGUUAUAGAGUGGGGUGAUCAUCACACUUGACACACCACCAAAUUUGCAGUUCCCCUAGUCUCAGUACUGUCUCUGCCGGAUGUGUAAAUAAACUAAGAUCUUAAUAAGUUGGUAAUAUAUCAAGGUUGUGUUUACAGCUAGCUGUGCUAACCUGAAAGUGUGUCAAAAAAACCAAAUAGUUUAUGCAGGUUUAAAAAUGAAAAGAAUAUAAUCUUACUUACAAUGAAGAGUAACAUUAAGAGUACAACCUCAUAAAAACAGGUGUAUGUCUUCUAUGGCACCUUUAACCCCAACCCUAUCCCUAACCCUAUGUCAUCAAAGGAGUUUAGACCAGGCAGUUACCAGGCAGGGAGAGAUGUCUGUUGCUACACUGACAUCUUAUGGGAUAGAUGGUCGAGAUGGGAAGGUUUACCGUGCAACAGGACAACUCGAGACAUUUGUAUGACUGCAUAGUUGGUUAAGAGAGGGAUAAAAUGCUGUACACUGGCAGUAUAAUACUGUCCAUUAUUUACAUGUCAGAAAAUGGUUGGUUACUCUCACAUGACAGGAAUACAGCAUAACAAAAGAUCCUAAUAUAUUGCUUUAUGGGAAAUGUAAGCUCCAGGGCCCAGUCACACUGCCAAGUACACCAACUUUGUAAAAGUAAAUCAUUGGAGUGGCCCUUUAAAACUGAAAAGGUUAAAAUGCAUAUGGUCUAUUGAAGUUAAAUCAAUACAGUAAAAUUAAUCCAUGAUGUGAUUUAGGAUGCAGAUCAUUACCUGUAAAAACAGUGUAAACACAGUGACAUGUGGAUAAGUUCAAUUUAAUAGGUUUGAUUUGUACAUUUGUAACAGUAAUGUGUGCAACAAAACCGUACAGUUAGCCCCAAGUUGGCUAACUCAAAAGAUAGUUUUCUUGGUAUACAUACAUGAAAUAAUUCACAAUCUACACUUUAAAGUACAUGAAGAUUACAGUACAAUUUUUCUAAACUGAGACGCAGUCUCAAAUUAAGCCACUAGAUUACAUCUUCUUGUGUUUUGUUGCCCAGUGUCAUUAUAAUACACUCUAGUGUUC